rnacentral:rRNA from 1 species
UACGUAGGGGGCAAGCGUUGUCCGGAAUCAUUGGGCGUAAAGAGCGUGUAGGCGGCCAGAAAAGUCCGCUGUGAAAACUCGAGGCUCAACUUCGAGCUGUCGGUGGAAACUUUCUGGCUAGAGUCCGGAAGAGGAGAAUGGAAUUCCUGGUGUAGCGGUGAAAUGCGCAGAUAUCAGGAAGAACACCCGUGGCGAAGGCGGUUCUCUGGGACGGUACUGACGCUGGAGACGCGAAAGCCGUGGGGAGCGAACAGG